GAUGAACGCUGGCGGCGUGCCUAAUACAUGCAAGUCGAGCGAACAGACGAGGAGCUUGCUCCUUUGACGUUAGCGGCGGACGGGUGAGUAACACGUGGGUAACCUACCUAUAAGACUGGGAUAACUUCGGGAAACCGGAGCUAAUACCGGAUAAUAUUUCGAACCGCAUGGUUCGAUAGUGAAAGAUGGCUUUGCUAUCACUUAUAGAUGGACCUGCGCCGUAUUAGCUAGUUGGUAAGGUAACGGCUUACCAAGGCAACGAUACGUAGCCGACCUGAGAGGGUGAUCGGCCACACUGGAACUGAGACACGGUCCAGACUCCUACGGGAGGCAGCAGUAGGGAAUCUUCCGCAAUGGGCGAAAGCCUGACGGAGCAACGCCGCGUGAGUGAUGAAGGUCUUCGGAUCGUAAAACUCUGUUAUUAGGGAAGAACAAACGUGUAAGUAACUGUGCACGUCUUGACGGUACCUAAUCAGAAAGCCACGGCUAACUACGUGCCAGCAGCCGCGGUAAUACGUAGGUGGCAAGCGUUAUCCGGAAUUAUUGGGCGUAAAGCGCGCGUAGGCGGUUUUUUAAGUCUGAUGUGAAAGCCCACGGCUCAACCGUGGAGGGUCAUUGGAAACUGGAAAACUUGAGUGCAGAAGAGGAAAGUGGAAUUCCAUGUGUAGCGGUGAAAUGCGCAGAGAUAUGGAGGAACACCAGUGGCGAAGGCGACUUUCUGGUCUGUAACUGACGCUGAUGUGCGAAAGCGUGGGGAUCAAACAGGAUUAGAUACCCUGGUAGUCCACGCCGUAAACGAUGAGUGCUAAGUGUUAGGGGGUUUCCGCCCCUUAGUGCUGCAGCUAACGCAUUAAGCACUCCGCCUGGGGAGUACGACCGCAAGGUUGAAACUCAAGGGAAUUGACGGGGACCCGCACAAGCGGUGGAGCAUGUGGUUUAAUUCGAAGCAACGCGAAGAACCUUACCAAAUCUUGACAUCCUUUGACCCUUCUAGAGAUAGAAGUUUCCCCUUCGGGGGACAAAGUGACAGGUGGUGCAUGGUUGUCGUCAGCUCGUGUCGUGAGAUGUUGGGUUAAGUCCCGCAACGAGCGCAACCCUUAAGCUUAGUCGCCAUCAUUAAGUUGGGCACUCUAAGUUGACUGCCGGUGACAAACCGGAGGAAGGUGGGGAUGACGUCAAAUCAUCAUGCCCCUUAUGAUUUGGGCUACACACGUGCUACAAUGGACAAUACAAAGGGCAGCGAAACCGCGAGGUCAAGCAAAUCCCAUAAAGUUGUUCUCAGUUCGGAUUGUAGUCUGCAACUCGACUACAUGAAGCUGGAAUCGCUAGUAAUCGUAGAUCAGCAUGCUACGGUGAAUACGUUCCCGGGUCU
rnacentral:rRNA from 1 species